ACACGACGCCUUGAAACUAGUUUUUUUUCUUGUGACGGGAUUUCAGAAAAAUAAAAAUGACAACCUUGUGAUUCAGGGACCAUAACUGCCUUUUAUAUCGACAUAGUUUAACAAUUCUCAUUUCACCCAUCAUAAAAUGAGAAUAUUACAAAAAUAGUAUGUGCACAUUACAAGCUCAUACUUAAACCUGAUGCAUUAAGGCUCAAUAUUGUUUAACCAUAUUUGAUCACUUUUAAACGAGCCCGUUAAAUUGAUAACCUGAUAUGCAUACCAAGGUCCACAUUAAGUCCACACAUUAGAAAAAUCCAACAAUCUCUCACUUGGGCUUUAUGUGACACCUUAACUAUGCGUUAAAUAACCGUAGGAGUACUCAGAACUGUGCUAUCAAUACCUGAAUGCAUUACCAAACAAUCAUGUUCAUCAAUCAUAAAGACAUGAUCAAAACGGCCUUCACUACAACUAACGUAGCUAAACGCAUCAAUGGUCACGUAUAUCAGUAUAACCGAACUACAUGGAUCAAAUAUAGAUGUGCAGUAUGAAAAUUACAUGCUAUAUGAUCUAAGCAUGCCUAUUUCCAACUGGUCUUGCAUUAACUUUAAUGAGAUUAAUUAUAAGAAAAUUCAGAGAUAGUAAUAUAUAUAAACAUAAACAAAAAAAAAAACUAAAAUGAAACCGUAUAUACAUAAACAAAACCAAAGUACAAAGCUUAUGAAAUGUCUUAUAAAAUAAAUACAACUAUGGUACAAGACUCCCACUGAAACUACACAUCAUUUAGGGAUACAACACCCAUAUGAGCAGUAUGCUCAUAAAAGACUUUAGGUGGUAAUCCCUUAGUGAGCAAAUCCGCAAUCAUGGAGUUUGUUUUAAUGUGGUCUAUCGAUAUUUUAACAACGAGGAACUUGAUAUCAUAUGCUUUAACUUCGUUGAACUCCUGUUGUUGUUGGAAUACAUAACCAUAGAUUUAUUAUUACAAAGUAACUUUAAUGGUCUUUCAAUGCCAUCAACAAUACGCAACCCAAUGACAAAACUUUGCAGUCAUAUUCCAUGAUUAAAUGCCUCAUAACAAGCUACAAACUUUGCUGCCAUAGUAAAAGAGGCUACAAGUGUUUGUUUAGCACUCUUAUAAGAAAUAGCUCUCCUAGUGAUGCGGGAGGGUAUGGAGAGGAUUGAAUCUACUCCUAAAAACCCACUCAAUGCAUGCAAUAUCGAAAC
rnacentral:lncRNA from 1 species